rnacentral:rRNA from 1 species
UACGAAGGGGGCUAGCGUUGUUCGGAUUUACUGGGCGUAAAGCGCACGUAGGCGGAUUGUUAAGUGAGGGGUGAAAUCCUGGAGCUCAACUCCAGAACUGCCUUUGAUACUGAGGAUCUUGAGUCCGGGAGAGGUGAGUGGAACUCCGAGUGUAGAGGUGAAAUUCGUAGAUAUUCGGAAGAACACCAGUGGCGAAGGCGGCUCACUGGCCCGGUACUGACGCUGAGGUGGCGAAAGCGUGGGGAGCAAACAGG